GACGAACGCUGGCGGCGUGCCUAAUACAUGCAAGUAGAACGCUGAAGAGAGGAGCUUGCUCUUCUUGGAUGAGUUGCGAACGGGUGAGUAACGCGUAGGUAACCUGCCUUGUAGCGGGGGAUAACUAUUGGAAACGAUAGCUAAUACCGCAUAACAAUGGAUGACACAUGUCAUUUAUUUGAAAGGGGCAAUUGCUCCACUACAAGAUGGACCUGCGUUGUAUUAGCUAGUAGGUGAGGUAAUGGCUCACCUAGGCGACGAUACAUAGCCGACCUGAGAGGGUGAUCGGCCACACUGGGACUGAGACACGGCCCAGACUCCUACGGGAGGCAGCAGUAGGGAAUCUCCGGCAAUGGGGGCAACCCUGACCGAGCAACGCCGCGUGAGUGAAGAAGGUUUUCGGAUCGUAAAGCUCUGUUGUAAGUCAAGAACGGGUGUGAGAGUGGAAAGUUCACACUGUGACGGUAGCUUACCAGAAAGGGACGGCUAACUACGUG
rnacentral:rRNA from 1 species